AAAAAAAGAGGUAAGUUAGUAUCCUCGAACUUUGUCCCCAGUCAGUCAGCAUUAGGGUUUUAAACCCUAAACUGAACUUUUCCUUUAAUCAGCAUUAGGGUUUUAAAACCCUAAACUGAACUUUUCCUUUAAUCAGCAUUAGGGUUUUAAAACCCUAAACAUAACUUUUCCAUUCAGUCAGCAUUAGGGUUUUAAACCCUAAACUGAACUUUUCCAUUCAGUCAGCAUUAGGGUUUUAAACCCUAAACUGAAUUUUUUCUAUCAGGUCAGCAUUAGGGUUUUAAACCCUAAACUGAA
rnacentral:lncRNA from 1 species